rnacentral:rRNA from 1 species
UACGUAGGUGGCGAGCGUUGUCCGGAUUUACUGGGCGUAAAGAGCGCGCAGGCGGUCGUUCAAGUCGCGUGUGAAAGCCCCCGGCUCAACUGGGGAGGGUCACGCGAUACUGAUCGACUCGAAGGCAGGAGAGGGAAGUGGAAUUCCUGGUGUAGCGGUGAAAUGCGCAGAUAUCAGGAAGAACACCCGUGGCUAAGGCGGCUCUCUAGUACGGUACUGACGCUGAGACGCGAAAGCGUGGGGAGCGAACAGG